rnacentral:rRNA from 1 species
GGUUAAGUGAAUAAGGGCGUACGGUGAAUGCCUUGGCACUAGGAGCCGAUGAAGGACGGGACGAACACCGAUAUGCUUCGGGGAGCUGUAAGUAAGCUUUGAUCCGGAGAUUUCCGAAUGGGGGAACCUCAUUGUUUUUAUCGACAAUGGUCCACUCAGUGAACACAUAGCUGAGUGGAAGGUAGACGUGGUGAACUGAAACAUCUCAGUAGCCACAGGAAGAGAAAGAAAAAUCGAUUUCCCGAGUAGCGGCGAGCGAAACGGAAAGAGGCCAAACCAGCGUGCUUGCAUGCUGGGGUUGUAGGACUGAUGGACGGGAGUGAAUGAGCUAGUCGAACGCCAUGGAAAGGGCGAUCAGAGAGGGUGACAAUCCCGUAGGCGAAAGCUCAGCCACCUCAUUCAGUAUCCUGAGUACGGCGGUACACGUGAAAUUCCGUCGGAAUCCGCCAGGACCAUCUGGCAAGCCUAAAUACUCCCUAGUGACCGAUAGUGAACCAGUACCGUGAGGGAAAGGUGAAAAGCACCCCGGAAGGGGAGUGAAAGAGUACCUGAAACCGUAUGCCUACAAGCAGUCAGAGCCCGUUAAGGGGUGAUGGCGUACUUUUUGUAGAACGGACCGGCGAGUGACGAUAGCAAGCAAGGUUAAGCUGAAGAAGCGGAGCCACAGCGAAAGCGAGUCUGAAGAGGGCGUUGAGUUUGUUGUCGUCGACCCGAAACCAAGUGAUCUACUCAUGUCCAGGCUGAAGGUGUGGUAAAACACACUGGAGGGCCGAACCCACGUCUGUUGAAAAAGGCGGGGAUGAGGUGUGGGUAGCGGUGAAAUUCCAAUCGAACUUGGAGAUAGCUGGUUCUCUCCGAAAUAGCUUUAGGGCUAGCCUCGGAUGAUGACUAUUGGAGGUAGAGCACUGUUUGAUCGAGGGGUCCAUCCUGGAUUACCGACAUCUGAUAAACUCCGAAUGCCAAAUAGUUUAGUCCGGGAGUCAGACUGCGAGUGAUAAGAUCCGUAGUCGAAAGGGAAAGAGCCCAGACCACCAGCUAAGGUCCCAAAGUUUCAGUUAAGUGGAAAAGGAUGUGGGGUUGCUUAGACAACUAGGAUGUUGGCUUAGAAGCAGCCAUCAUUGAAAGAGUGCGUAAUAGCUCACUAGUCGAGUGACCCUGCGCCGAAAAUGUACCGGGGCUAAACUGAACACCGAAGCUGUGGAUCCGUAGGAUGGUAGGAGAGCGUUCUAUAGGCAGAGAAGCAUGAUCGUGAGGACAUGUGGAGCGUAUAGAAGUGAGAAUGCCGGUAUGAGUAGCGAAAGACGGGUGAGAAUCCCGUCCACCGAAUGACUAAGGUUUCCUGGGGAAGGCUCGUCCUCCCAGGGUUAGUCGGGACCUAAGCCGAGACCGAAAGGGAUAGGCGAUGGACAACAGGUUGAGAUUCCUGUACUUGUUUGAUUUGUUUGAGCGAUGGAAGGACACAGAAGGCUAAGCGGAGCGCGGAGAUGGAAAAA